GCAUACUGCAGAUUCACAUAUAGGCUAUAGCCUGCACGUAUAACCUCAACCAUUCACAUAAACGCACCCGCGCAGCCUUACGGAGCUAUGCUCCUCACUAUUCCCUCACUGAUCGAUCUAUUAGCCUGCAUUGAUCAUCUCCGUAGCGGGCCUGGGUUGUGAUUCAUUUUUCAUAAUUUUGAUAUGCUAAUCCAAAUUUUCAACAGCGGCAUUUGCUGGAGCUGAGAGAGAGAGAGAGAGAGAGAGAGAAGAGGGGAGAGAGAAGAGGGGAGAGAGAGAGAGAGAGAGAGAGAGAGAGAGAGAGAACGCGCAUCAUCAGAUGUUUAGCAGAUCCACUUUCGCUCCUCGCCAUCGUCUCUGCUGUGCGAUUUUUCGAUCUUUUUCUUUCCCUCGGUCGGCCGGGUUUGUGACAUUAUGCGGCUCUCGAUGUUGUAAUCCGGGAGAAUAUGUGAAGAUCAUGCUGGCGGUGUGGUGCUUCAUUGUCUGUGCUGCAGUGGGGGAGAGGCUUGCGGUCUCAGGUGUGGACAGUAGCCCGGCACCGGAUGGAGGCAUCUGGGACUGGUUUACCCCGACAGGGCAGCCGGACAGCGGGGACACUGCCCCCAAGGUCACCUAUCCUAAGCGGCUGGUGCAGCAGAUUCAGUCGGAGGAAGAAAUGGCUCAUGACCACUUGGAUACCAGGGUGAAGAACAGCACCGGGAACACCUUGGCCGUCCACUUGGCCCAGAGCUGUUUCCAAGUGGAAGCCUUUGGACACACCUUCACUCUGGACCUGGAGCUAAACCAUCACCUCCUGUCUUCAGAAUAUGUGGAGCGGCACUUUAACCACAAUGGCAGACCCUCACAGUCUGUGGGAGGGGAGCACUGCUACUACCAGGGACGGUUAAGAGGUUUACCAGAGUCCUGGGCAGCUCUCUCCACCUGCCACGGCCUGUGCGGCAUGUUCUCUGACGGCUUCUUCUCUUACGGGAUUGAGCCUGUUCACAAUGGCAGCAAACAGGAUGGUGGCGCUCACUUAAUCCGCAGAAUGUCCGAUAUCAGACUUUCCCCCCACUGCCCAGACUGUACAGAGGACGAUGAGUGGGAUAUCAGAGGAGGUGAUGGUGAUGACGACAGACCGGACCAAAUGAGGGAGCAGCAGCAGCAGGGGUCUGGGGGGCUGAGGCGAUCCAAGAGAUAUGUUCGCAAACCCUCUGUCCAGACUGAGACCAAAUAUAUUGAGUUGAUGGUGGUCAACGACAAUGAAAUGUUUGUGCUGCGUCGCUCCAACAGCCAAACCAAGAACUUUGCCAAAGCAGUGGUCAACAUGGCAGACGCGAUCUACAAGGAACAGUUGAACACGAGGAUUGUGCUGGUUGCUCUGGAGACCUGGACCUCUAAAAAUAUGAUGCCAGUAGUAGAAGAUCCAUUGAUAACGCUGCAGAACUUCAUGAAGUACAGGAAGGACAACAUCAAAGAUCAGAGCGACGUUGUCCAUCUUUUCUCAGGGCGUACAUUUCACAGCAGCCGCAGUGGGACGGCCUACACAGGAGGAGUGUGCUCUCUCACGAGGGGAGGAGGCAUCAACGAGUAUGGGAAUGUAGGAGCAAUGGCCAUCACUUUGUGCCAGAGUCUGGGCCAGAAUAUCGGCAUGAGGUGGAACAACGUCCGCAACUCUGCAGGAGACUGCAGGUGUCCAGACGCCUGGCUAGGCUGCAUCAUGGAAGACACGGGAUACUAUCUGCCCAGAAAGUUUUCUCGCUGCAGUGUUGAUGAGUACAUCCAGUUCUUGCUCCAAGGGGGCGGGAGCUGCCUCUUCAACAAGCCAAACAAGCUGUUGGACCCUCCAGAGUGUGGGAAUGGCUUUGUGGAGCCAGGGGAAGAGUGUGAUUGUGGAUCCCAAGUGGAGUGCGCCCGUAGUGGAGGAGCCUGCUGUAAAAAGUGCACACUUACCCACGAUGCCAUGUGCAGUAACGGACUCUGCUGCAGUAGCUGCAAGUAUGAGCGGAGAGGCGUGGUAUGUCGAGAGACUGUGAACGACUGUGAUAUCCCAGAGAGCUGCACCGGAGACUCCAGCCAGUGUCCACAUAACGUGCACAGGCUAGAUGGCUACAUGUGUGAUACUAAUCAGGGUCGCUGUUACGGUGGACGAUGCAGGACUCGUGAUGGACAGUGUAGGGGACUCUGGGGUUAUAAUUCAGCAGACAGGUUUUGUUAUGAGAAGCUGAACGCUGAGGGGACAGAGAAAGGCAACUGUGGUCCGGGUCCUGAAGGCCAAGGAUGGCUGCAGUGCAACAAGCAGGAUGUUUUAUGUGGCUUCCUGUUCUGUGCCAAUGUGACGAUGAAACCAAAGUUUGGAGACCUGCAGGGUGAGGUGACCAGCUUCACCCUCUACCACCAGAACAAAUACCUGGACUGCAGAGGCGGCCAUGCUCUGCUGGAGGAUGGUUCAGACCUGGGCUAUGUGGAGGAGGGCACUCCUUGUGGGCCCAACAUGAUGUGUUUGGAGCGACGCUGCCUCCCUGUGGUGGCGUUCAAUCUCAGCACCUGUUCCGGAUCCAACUAUGGGCGCAUUUGUUCUGACCAUGGGACGUGCAGUAACGAGGUGAAGUGUAUCUGUGACAGGGACUACACGGGGAAGGACUGCAGUGUCUAUGAUCCCAUCCCUGAGCCAACAGUCCCGACUGGCCCAGAGAAGAAAGGUCCACAGCGCCUUUCAACCUGCACAUGUCUCUCUUUCUGUCUGCCUCUCAUAUUCCCCUCAUACUCUCUGCCCAUCAUCACUGUCUCCAUGUACUGAUGUGGAGCACAGCAUCUUGCCCUCAAACACAAAGAGUAGUUCACCUGGUUUUUGUGAGAUAUUAAGUACACACAGUGUUUAACUUCCUGCUGAGUCUUGGUUUCAAUAUUGGAAGAGUGUGGGUGUGUGUUGAGACACGUUUACUCAUUAGAGCAUGUGUGCAGUAUGUUAGUGUAUGUGUAUGUGUACCUUACACAGUACUGUAUAUAUUGCAGUCACUGCCAUCUUCAAGUGUCUUCCUUACUUUCUUGCAGUCUGCCAAUGACACAGAGCAAUUGAGCUGCUGCACUCAUAGGGCCAAAAAAAGCCACCCUGAGCAAGAGGGUGUCCAGCUGAAAGAGCAGGAGAGUGGGAAUGAGAACAAAGUAAUACAACUCUCUCUCCUUUGUUUUUGUUUUUUUACUGUUGUCUCCCUGACCUUCCUCGCUCACCCGCCCGUUGUCCCAACUCCACCCCACGUGCUGGUAACGUCCUCCUUCGCUUCAUCUCUAUUUCUCUGUCUGCAGGAACAUUCGGAGAGGAAGAUCUGGUGGUGGAUAAGAUGUCUGUCUGUCUUUCUGUAUCUCUGGCCUGUCUACUCCUGUAUUCCUCCACCGUUUACACAUCAGAGAAGAGGGGAACAAAAAAAAAAAUAAGUCUUCCACUCCUGUCCCAAAAUUUCUCCAAACCUCUUCCGAUUAUCGUUUCCUCCACGUCCCCGUCUGCUCCUAUCGUCUGUCCUCCUGCCUGGCUCCGUCCUCCUCUGGGCUCGUGGAGCUCCUCUCACCAUACCAGCCGUAUCACACUUGUGUGGCUGCUUCCGGCAGGCAGCUGAGGACUGUGUCCAGGACACGCCCGUAGCGAGCAUCUGGCUCAACCUGUGGGAGACACCAGGGUCUUCCUCCAGUCCGGUGGCUCUGAGAAUGUGAUUCGGUGUCUGUGUACCUCCUUUACUGUCAUCUUGAACUGUCUGAUGAAGAACAUAUCAACCGUGGACCAAUUUAAUACGAGACAUGUCUUUCCAAUGCCUGCCUUCCUGCCUGCAUACAAACUAAGCCGGCCACCAACUUAGUCCACGGGUAAAUGUUGCACUAGCACACAGCCUGGCCAUUUAACAGACUGAAAUAACGUAACAGGAGUGGAAUAGUUUCCUUUUUUCUUAAAGGAGAAGGACCAAGGCCAGGCUUUGGAAAAGUGGACAGUUAUCUGUUUUAAUCUACAAAGUUUGGCAACAUGGACAACUAAAAAGAAACCGUACAUUGGACUGUUGUUAGCAUGUUUUCCAAAGAGUCUGAGGAAGGACUAGCGAUCAUAUAAACGAUGGCUCAAAAACCAGUCAGCCAUUAGCCAGAGCCCUGCCUGAUAACUGAGUUUAUGUUCAAUGUCAUUUGUCCUUUUAACAUGAGGCAUCCUACUUGCCCCCCUAAGGUUUCAGGUACUAAAAAGGGAAGCUAGGUGUUAUGGUUUUGGGAUCAUUGUGAACCACUGAACUGUUAGAGCAGCAGAGACCGUAACUUAGUGUUUUCAACCACAGACUGACCAACAUACAUUCCACAAUAUCUGUCUGUGUGCGUGCGCUCACCACUUUUAGGCCAAAUGUUUGUACGCUUGUGAGGUUUAUUCUGUACGUCUGUUCACGGGUGAAUGUAAGCGUGUCAGAGAUUUUUAAAAAGAAGAAGAAUGUGUGCGUGUCAGGGGCAGUUGUGUCCAUGUACAUUAAUAACACAGAACUCCUAUCGCAGGUAGGAUGGCAGGUUUUUACCUCUAGAAUAUCAUCUCUUUCUACAAACUGUUGUGCGCUGCAGCCAUGACGCCACUAUAAUGCAGCACAUUAAUAAAUAAUGAAACGGUUUUAAUGUCAUGUAUCUACAAAAAAACGAGCACUAGCCAACUGUAUGCACACCUAUUUGUAAAUAUGUGCAAGAUAUACUGAAUGUUAAAUGCACUGUAUGGAGAUUUAUUUAAAAGCUGUGUUAAAAUAAUGAGUUGUAUCCGUUGCAAACAUAUAGCCGUCAGUCUCUCGACAGGAUCUGCAAAUCUCUCCUGUCGUCAACGCUGUCCAUGCGUCUUUAAAUGUGGCGUAACAGCUAAGCUAGCUGUCUCGCAUCUCUCUUAUCAUUCCAGCCAUCGCUUAAAUGUCAUGAAUCUUUUGUACAUUUGUUGAUAGCUCUGAGCCCUGGGUGAACUCCUCAGCCCAGGGGCUUUUUAAUGUAAAUGAGAUUAAAGAGAUCUAGUCUGAGGUCCAGGAGGCAGCUUGUCUGAAACUGUAUGUGUGUAAGAGGUCAGUUUGGUUCAGUUGAGCUUUGCACUAUUGUUAUUAUUACAAUAUGUACAGAGUUGGUAACAAAUACAAUCUGUUCGAUGAAGUUUAUGGGGAAAAAAAAAAUAAAGAUGCAAAGUAUCCCAUAUUUUUGACACUUUUUAAAUUGAGACAAAAAAAGAGGAAUUAACUAAGCCUUGUAGUUGAUUUGAAAUGGAAAGAAAAUGAAAUACUUAAAAAAUAAAUCACACCGACUACUUUCGCUA